CGUAGGCAGCGAGCGUUGUUCGGAGUUACUGGGCGUAAAGGGUGUGUAGGCGGUCUCUUAAGUCUGGUGUGAAAUCUCCCGGCUCAACUGGGAGGGUGCGCCGGAAACUGAGAGGCUUGGAGUGCGGGAGAGGAGAGUGGAAUUCCUGGUGUAGCGGUGAAAUGCGUAGAUAUCAGGAGGAACACCGGUGGUGCAGACGGCUCUCUGGACCGUAACUGACGCUGAGACACGAAAGCGUGGGGAGCAAACAGGAUUAGAUACCCUGGUAGUCCACGCCCUAAACGAUGCAUAUUUGGUGUAGGUCAUUCAGUUGAUCUGUGCCGGAGCUAACGCGUUAAAUAUGCCGCCUGGGGACGUACAGUCGCAAGGCUG
rnacentral:rRNA from 1 species